AAGCUGGAAUCGCUAGUAAUCGCGGAUCAGAAUGCCGCGGUGAAUACGUUCCCGGGUCUUGUACACACCGCCCGUCACACCAUGGGAGUCGGAAAUGCCCGAAGUCUGUGACCCAACCUUAGGGAGGGAGCAGCCGAAGGCAGGUCGGAUGACUGGGGUGAAGUCGUAACAAGGUAGC
rnacentral:rRNA from 1 species